rnacentral:lncRNA from 1 species
CUGUCUCUCCCCAGAUGGGCAGGUACUCAUCCUGCUGAAUGUCCAGCAUGAUCUCCAGCCCGUUGCCUGUCCCCCCCUUGACCGUGGUGAGCAGAGGUUUGCCAUCCUCGCCUGAGUUAAACAUGUAACACUUCCCAUAUUUUGUAAACACCUGAAGGAGAGAAGAGAGAGAGAGAGAGAAGCACAUGGGUAACUUCAGACGGGGGUCCAGAGAUUGGCGAGACCCCAGAAAUCUGACAGCAGGACCCAAGCGUUUUUUGACUGCAUCACUCUGGUUUCCUAGCUGGACUUCAGGAUUCCAGAUGACCUUCUCCAGCCCAUCCUCUAAGGUAACUGAAUUGGGGUUCAGGAAGGAGAAAUGAACUGCCCAAGGUCACACAGGAAGUGGCAAAGCCAGGACUCAAUCAAGGUCACCCAACUUCACAUUUAAGAUGAGGAACCAAAGUUCAAGGAGGUUCAACGUCUUACAGAUUUGGUGGUGCACUUGCUCUUCCCACUGCCCAGUGAAGCGCUACUCGAUCAUACUAGACACAAUGUGGUUGGUCUAUGGGAGGGAGUAUCAGGAAGCAUGAGGAGCCCACACUUCUACAAAGAGUCGAGAUGCCUUCACAAAGAUGCCUCAUGCUGCAAGGUCGUGAAUGCCAAGUGCUCUAGUGUUUCAGAGGUGGAGGAGAUCCCUACAGAUGAGGCACCAGGAAAAGCUUCAAGGUGGAGGCCGGUCUGAGUCUGGCCUCAAAGGAUGAAAUGAUUCAGAUAAACAGCAAAACAAAGCAACAGGAAGGGAGAGAUAACAACAAAGGCAGAGAUGUAGGAGUGAGCAAGGGAGACUGAAUGAGCAGUCCCUGGGACAGAAGGUGGUUUGUGAGGCUGGAAGAGGAGUUGAAACUUGUUUGUAAUUAUUGUGUGGUGUAUUUGCAUUUCUAAUUGCGCUGAGGGACACUGAAGGCCAAGCUUCCAGUCUCUGGGCUGUCUUUCACCUGCGCCGCGGUGCUGAGUUGUUGGCGGCGGCGGCAGCGUCUUUUCUCCAAGCAGCACCUGUGAGAGCAGCAGCUCCAGCUGGAGUCCCAAGACUUCCAAUCAACAUAGAGAGCCACAGGGCCUGUGCCUGCGUGGGUUUGCUGUAAGGAGCCUGUAACGCAUCGAGGAGCCCAGCGCCCAACCCCACACCUGGCAUUGGCUGGGUGCUCAAUAAAUGCUGGCUGACCACGGCUGUUCCUGAACGAAUCCUUAUCUCGCUUAUCUGAUUCAAGCGCCGGGUGGGCGCACUGUGGGCUGGCAGCAAGGGUUCCUGAUGCCAGGACUCUUGGAUUUGCUCCACAGGUGUCUGCGCAUCCAUCUGGAAACUGAGCAUCUGUGCAGGGAAUCCAUUUCCUCUUCUAACUUCUGAAUAGCUUUAGAUACUUCUGACUUCUGAACCCCUUUAGAUGUAUGCUGUCAUUUACCAGGAACAUCCUAACAUUGAUGAUUGAGGCUUCUUUGGCCAUUUCUGCCUCCACAAGCCUUACUUUUU